GUGCUUGCUUUGGUAGCACAUAUACUAAAAUUGGAACGACACAGAGAAGAUUAGCACGGCCCCUGCACAAGGAUGACACACAAAUUUGUGAAGCUUCCAUAUUUAAA